rnacentral:lncRNA from 1 species
UACAGUUCAGUUGGUCUUAGUUAAAAUGCAAACACUGAAGAGUUACCCCCAAACUCUUUGAAACAGAAAAAAGGAAAAGGAUGAAGAGAUUUUAAAAAGCUAAACUGUUUACGAAAAUUUUGUUCCACAGCUUUCACUGGAUUAGUUAUUGGAGCAAAAUUUAGCCAUGUGAACAGGUCCCAUUUUGUCAGAAGCGUAAGUUGGAUGCAACCAUCUUUUAUAAACUGCCAUACUAGGUUGGAGCUGGUCUGCUGCAGUCAGCCUGAAAAUGAGUUGGUCUCUACAAUCUCAGGAGACAAGCCCAAAUCCUUCCUAGAACCUCUCUUAUUUGUGAUGCCAACAACAGCUUACAACCACAACUGCCCAGAAUGGAGAAGCCAGAAGGAUGGAGGCUGCUCCACCUCUGAAUGCCCACAUCACCUCUGCCUGGAAAAACCGGGUGUUCUAAGCUUAGAGAUGAGGGAAAGGAGACUUACUGGGCUAGAGAACAGGACCAGAAUAAACUUGAUACAAGUGAGUCACAGACCUAACUGUCCAAGUCUGAACUCUGGAUAACUUGAGAGAGAGGUCCCAUGAACUCUGAACUUGUCCUCAACAGAAUGCUUGCUUGUAGCCAAUAUCCAUUUUCAUCCAGCCCCGGGUAUGCAUAUUGCUUCAGACCAUGCAACAGAAGAGGAAACUAAGGCUCUUAAUAUCCCUUGACUUCUUGUUGCAUUCUCUGAAACCUUUAGGGAAAUUUGGUCCUAGAAAUGAACUAACUUCCCUAAACCAUGUCCUCUCCUGAGGUGAACUGGACAAAACAAAGGCUUCCAAAAGAAACCCUUAUAUUCACAAUUUGGAUAAUUCCAGAGGUCUAAGAGCUCCCCAGGAGUAAUGCUUUACCCUUAAAGAAAAUAAGGCUAGCACCUGGGUAUCUUGGCUGUUCAGCUCUAUAUGUUGAAAGGUACACAUAGCCAGAGAGGGGAAAACUGAGGGCUUGCUGGCUUCUCAGCUAGUUGAGG